GACGAACGCUGGCGGCGUGCUUAACACAUGCAAGUCGAACGGAAAGGCCCUGCUUUUGUGGGGUGCUCGAGUGGCGAACGGGUGAGUAACACGUGAGUAACCUGCCCUUGACUUUGGGAUAACUUCAGGAAACUGGGGCUAAUACCGGAUAGGAGCUCCUGCUGCAUGGUGGGGGUUGGAAAGUUUCGGCGGUUGGGGAUGGACUCGCGGCUUAUCAGCUUGUUGGUGGGGUAGUGGCUUACCAAGGCUUUGACGGGUAGCCGGCCUGAGAGGGUGACCGGCCACAUUGGGACUGAGAUACGGCCCAGACUCCUACGGGAGGCAGCAGUGGGAAAUAUUGCACAAUGGGCGGAAGCCUGAUGCAGCAACGCCGCGUGCGGGAUGACGGCCUUCGGGUUGUGAACCGCUUUCGCCUGUGACGAAGCGUGAGUGACGGUAAUGGGUAAAGAAGCACCGGCUAACUACGUG
rnacentral:rRNA from 1 species